GGUGGCUCAGUGGUAAAGCACUUGCCUUGCAUGCAUGAGGCCCUGGGUUCAAUUCCUCCCAGCACCA
rnacentral:tRNA from 1 species